GGUGAACGCUGGCGGCGUGCUUAAGACAUGCAAGUCGAACGGCAGUCUUCGGACUGUAGUGGCGCACGGGUGAGUAACGCGUAACUGACCUACCCCAAAGUCGCGGAUAACGAUUCGAAAGAAUCGCUAAUACGUGAUGUGCUGUCAGAUUGUGGUAUGCCAGUAAAGAUUGAUUGCUUUGGGAUGGGGUUGCGUUCCAUCAGCUAGGUGGUGGGGUAAAGGCUCACCAAGGCGACGACGGAUAGCCGGCCUGAGAGGGUGGCCGGCCACAGGGGCACUGCGACACGGGUCCCACUCCUACGGGAGGCAGCAGUUAGGAAUCUUCCACAAUGGGCGAAAGCCUGAUGGAGCGACGCCGCGUGAGGGAUGAAGGUCUUCGGAUCGUAAACCUCUGAAUCAGGGACGAAAGACACUUCGGUGGGAUGACGGUACCUGAAGAAUAAGCACCGGCUAACUACGUGCCAGCAGCCGCCGUAAUAC
rnacentral:rRNA from 1 species